rnacentral:rRNA from 1 species
GUGGCAGCGCCGCGGUAAUACGGAGGGUGCGAGCGUUAAUCGGAAUUACUGGGCGUAAAGGGCGCGUAGGCGGUCGCGCAAGUCGGGUGUGAAAGCCCCGGGCUCAACCUGGGAAUUGCAUUCGAUACUGCGUAACUAGAGUCUGGUAGAGGGAAGCGGAAUUCCGCAUGUAGCGGUGAAAUGCGUAGAUAUGCGGAGGAACACCAGUGGCGAAGGCGGCUUCCUGGACCAAGACUGACGCUGAGGCGCGAAAGCGUGGGGAGCAAACAGGAUUAGAUACCCUGGUAGUCCACGCCCUAAACGAUGAGGACUAGACGUUGGGGGGAUAAAACCCUUUAGUGUCGCAGCUAACGCGUGAAGUCCUCCGCCUGGGGAGUACGGCCGCAAGGUUGAAACUCAAAUGAAUUGACGG